AUUGAACGCUGGCGGCAGGCUUAACACAUGCAAGUCGAGCGGGGUGAUGGUGCUUGCACUAUCACUUAGCGGCGGACGGGUGAGUAAUGCUUAGGAAUCUGCCUAUUAGUGGGGGACAACAUCUCGAAAGGGAUGCUAAUACCGCAUACGUCCUACGGGAGAAAGCAGGGGAUCACUUGUGACCUUGCGCUAAUAGAUGAGCCUAAGUCGGAUUAGCUAGUUGGGGGGGUAAAGGCCUACCAAGGCGACGAUCUGUAGCGGGUCUGAGAGGAUGAUCCGCAACACUGGGAGUGAGACACGGCCCAGACUCCGACGGGAGGCAGCAGUGGGGAAUAUUGGACAAUGGGGGGAACCCUGAUCCAGCCAUGCCGCGUGUGUGAAGAAGGCCUUAUGGUUGUAAAGCACUUUAAGCGAGGAGGAGGCUCUUUUGGUUAAUACCCAAGAUGAGUGGACGUUACUCGCAGAAUAAGCACCGGCUAACUCUGUGCCAGCCGCCGCCGUAA
rnacentral:rRNA from 1 species